GGCCGAUGACGAGCGAUUGCGGUUCCGAGUGUGGAUGACCACCGCGCAGUGACGAACCCUAUGAGUGCCGAGGCC
rnacentral:snoRNA from 1 species